GGGGAUGUAGCUCAUAUGGUAGAGCC
rnacentral:siRNA from 1 species